rnacentral:rRNA from 1 species
GACGAACGCUGGCGGCGUGCUUAACACAUGCAAGUCGAACGGAAAGGCCCUGCUUUUGUGGGGUGCUCGAGUGGCGAACGGGUGAGUAACACGUGAGUAAACUGCCCUUGACUUUGGGAUAACUUCAGGAAACUGGGGCUAAUACCGGAUAGGAGCUCCUGCUGCAUGGUGGGGGUUGGAAAGUUUCGGCGGUUGGGGAUGGACUCGCGGCUUAUCAGCUUGUUGGUGGGGUAGUGGCUUACCAAGGCUUUGACGGGUAGCCGGCCUGAGAGGGUUACCGGCCACAUUGGGACUGAGAGACGGCCCAGACUCCUACGGGAGGCAGCAGUGGGGAAUAUUGCACAAUGAGCGGAAGCCUGAUGCAGCAACGUCGCGUGCGGGAUGACGGCCUUCGGGUUGUAAACCGCUUUCGCCUGUGACGAAGCGUGAGUGACGGUAAUGGGUAAAGAAGCACCGGCUAACUACGUG